rnacentral:rRNA from 1 species
AGUCACUGACAUUAGAUACCCCCUGUAGUCCAGGGUGUAAACGCUGCAGACUUGGUGUUGGAGGCCCUUUGGGGGCAUUCAGUGCCGGAGAGAAGUUGUUAAGUCUGCUACUUGGGGAGUACGUCCGCAAGGAUGAAACUUAAAGGAAUUGGCGGGGGAGCACCGCAACGGGAGGAGCGUGCGGUUUAAUUGGAUUCAACACCGUAAACUCACCAGGGAAGACUGUUACAUGAAGGCCGAGAUGAAGACUCUGCUAGAUUUUCAG